rnacentral:rRNA from 2 species
GGUGGUUCUGAAUGGAAGGGCCAUCGCUCAACGGAUAAAAGGUACUCCGGGGAUAACAGGCUGAUACCGCCCAAGAGUUCAUAUCGACGGCGGUGUUUGGCACCUCGAUGUCGGCUCAUCACAUCCUGGGGCUGAAGUAGGUCCCAAGGGUAUGGCUGUUCGCCAUUUAAAGUGGUACGCGAGCUGGGUUUAGAACGUCGUGAGACAGUUCGGUCCCUAUCUGCCGUGGGCGCUGGAGAACUGAGGGGGGCUGCUCCUAGUACGAGAGGACCGGAGUGGACGCAUCACUGGUGUUCGGGUUGUCAUGCCAAUGGCACUGCCCGGUAGCUAAAUGCGGAAGAGAUAAGUGCUGAAAGCAUCUAAGCACGAAACUUGCCCCGA